GCUCUCAUAGGCAAGUGGUUAAGCCGCUGGCCCUUCCACUGUGUAGUUUAAGUAAAACUUUUAAUGUAAGUGCGAAUCUUACCAUAGUGACCAAAGCCGGAGACACGGGUUCGAAUCCCGUUGAGAGUA
rnacentral:tRNA from 1 species